rnacentral:rRNA from 1 species
UAUUGGGCGUAAGCGCGCGCAGGUGGUUUCUUAAGUCUGAUGUGAAAGCCCACGGCUCAACCGUGGAGGGUCAUUGGAAACUGGGAGACUUGAGUGCAGAAGAGGAAAGUGGAAUUCCAUGUGUAGCGGUGAAAUGCGUAGAGAUAUGGAGGAACACCAGUGGCGAAGGCGACUUUCUGGUCUGUAACUGACACUGAGGCGCGAAAGCGUGGGGAGCAAACAGGAUUAAAUACCCUGGUAGUCCACGCCGUAAACGAUGAGUGCUAAGUGUUAGAG